UUUUACCUGUGUGAUGUGGUGAUUUCAAUCGCUAAUAACUUGAUUGAGAAGGGCAAUUUUUUAAUUGCCCUUAAUUUUAU
rfam:Pantoea ananatis LMG 20103, complete genome.